UACGAAGGGGGCUAGCGUUGUUCGGAAUUACUGGGCGUAAAGCGCGUGUAGGCUGCUUGGAAAGUCGGAUGUGAAAGCCCUGGGCUCAACCUAGGAAGUGCAUUCGAAACUUCCAAGCUGGAGUGCUGGAGAGGAAGGCGGAAUUCUCGGUGUAGAGGUGAAAUUCGUAGAUAUCGAGAGGAACACCGGUGGCGAAGGCGGCCUUCUGGACAGUAACUGACGCUGAGACGCGAAAGCGUGGGGAGCAAACAGG
rnacentral:rRNA from 1 species